UACGUAGGGUGCAAGCGUUGUCCGGAAUUAUUGGGCGUAAAGAGCUCGUAGGCGGUCUGUCGCGUCGGCUGUGAAAUCCCGGAGCUCAACUCCGGGUCUGCAGUCGAUACGGGCAGACUGGAGUUCGGCAGGGGAGACUGGAAUUCCUGGUGUAGCGGUGAAAUGCGCAGAUAGUCAGGAGGAACACCCGGUGGCGAAGGCGGGUCUCUGGGCCGAUGACUGACGCUGGAGGAGCGAAAGCGUGGGGAGCGAACAGG
rnacentral:rRNA from 1 species